rnacentral:lncRNA from 1 species
CACCACCAAAGAAGGUAUACUACCCACCUCCAGUCUACAAGUCUCCCCCACCUCCCAAGAAGGUAUACUAUCCACCACGUCUAUAAGUCUCCUCCACCACCAAAGAAAGUAUACUACCCACCACCAGUCUACUCACCACCACCGCCAAAGAAGGUAUACUACCCACCUCCCGUCUACUCACCACCACCACCGAAGAAGGUGUACUACCCACCUCCCGUCUACUCACCACCACCACCGAAGAAGGUGUACUACCCACCUCCCGUCUACUCACCACCACCACCGAAGAAGUAUACUACCCACCCCCGUCUACUCACCACCACCACCGAAGAAGGUAUACUACCCACCACCCGUCUACUCUCCACCACCACCGAAGAAGGUAUACUACCCACCACCCGUCUACUCUCCACCACCACCGAAGAAGGUAUACUACCACCACCCGUCUACUCUCCACCACCACCGAAGAAGGUAUACUACCCUCCUCCCGUCUACUCUCCACCACCACCAAAGAAAGUAUACUAUCCACCUCCCGUCUACUCUCCACCACCACCAGUAUACCACUCCCCCACCUCCGGUCUAUCAUUCUCCACCACCACCAGUAUACCAUUCCCCACCACCUCCCGUUUAUUACUACUCAUCGCCACCGCCACCUCCACACUACUAGGAAUUAAAUGUC